rnacentral:lncRNA from 1 species
CUGGGAUUACAGGCGUGUACCACCACGGCUGGCUAAUUUUUUUUUUUUUAAUAGAGGCAGGGUUUCACAAUGUUGGCCAGGCUGACCUUGAACUCCUGACCUCAAGUGAUCUGCCAGCCUCGGCCUCCCAAAGUGCUGGGAUUACAGGCAUGAGCCACCACACCAGGCCCAAAAGGGCAUUUUGCUUAGUGCAUAAAAACACCCAGAUGAAGGGCCCAACCUCUUCCUUGCCAAGCUGCAUGCCAUGCUCAAAACUUCACUUAGUCAGAGAAAUUGACUUUUCUCAGUUAGUCUAGUCAGGGGAGAAGUUUUUCCAAAAUUUGCACUCAGGGUUUCCAAAAGAUAGUGGUGGUCCAGGGAUCCAGCCAUCUCUUUCCAAAGCCCAGUCACACUUCUUCUUGCACUAUGAACACAGUAUCUAAGGCCAAUCUUUAAAUCUUUGAAUUUAUUUAGAUAGACAAAAUAUUGUAUGUUUCUUAAAUUAUCAUAUAUUUCUUAAAUAGUAAAAUUUACUUAUUUGGUAAGACAUUGUUUUGCCCAAAAAUGCAACUAGUGAUUAAUAAAAAAGAAAAAUCUGUAUUUAGAAGAGAAAAUAAGCUAUUUAGCUUUUAUGGAUUUUAGUUUUAUGUUAUUUUUCUGGGAAGGUAUCUUUACCCUAACUCUUAAGAGUUGGUAACAUGAUAGCAAUCUAAUUUCUAAAGGAUCAUUAAGCCAGCCAGUCUUCAUCUGUUUAAUGUCACUUUCGGGUGCUUGAAUUUCUUUGAUUACUUGCCAUACAACAGUUCACCAUAGGAAGUUAUUUGCAAAAUGUGCCCUAAGAAGCUGAAUUCAUUUACCCACUCACAGACUAGAAUUACUGAAAAUGGAACACUGGAAUGUUGGAAAGCCACAUUCCAGAAAGGUAGUAUAAAUCCAUGGUUACAUAUGGUGCUCUGGGGCUAAACCUCUGAGUUGCCUUGUGAACAUACUAGCUUGAGCAAGCUACCUGGCCUCCCUGUGCUUUAGUUUCUCAUUUGUGAAAUGGAACUACCCCUUAUAUGGUUGCUACAAAAAUUAGCUGAGAAAAUAAAUGUAAAGUGUUUAGACUUGCACCUGACACAUAGUAAAUAUAGUAAUAAAAUUACAUUAGCAACAGAACAACUAAUAUUGAGCUGACCUAAGACGUAAUUGGCCAAGCCUCAGAGCACUAUAUUCUGUCCUGAUGCUGCUCCUCAUGCUGAGCCUGCAACUCUUUCAUAGUCACAGUAAUGGUCUUGAACACAUGGAGAGGCAGAGAGGGAACCCCAGAGGGGGGACUGUGAUCUAUUCCAGCUCUGACCCCCCUGCCAGGAUCUGCUGAAGCUGCACCUCCACCUCCCCCAACACCGCAUCUUGACCCCCAACCCUUAUCCUUCUGCUCCCCACGAGUGAUGUGAUGUUAGAUGUGGCUACUCAGGUUCAGCAGCUCCAGAGUGCAGCAGAACUUGUCAUCCUUCCCACACUUCUGCAAAUGUCGUAAGGGAAUCCCAGAAGCCACAUCUGAGCCCUUUCCCCCACCAGCCACAGCCACCACUGACCAGUUUUCCUUCUGAAUGUACAUUUGAAAGCGAUUCCAAAUGCUACUCAACCUUUCAUUCAUUUAAAAUUUCAACAUUUUUAUUUUACUUUUUUGUUUUCUUUUUAUUAUUCCCAAAUCUAACAAAGUAUUUUAAUAUUAGGGGAUCAGCAGCACAAAUCUAAGGGUAUCUGAAGAAUUUUAUCAUUUUUUUUUGCCAAAUAAAAUGGUAGUCCAUAAUACUAAGCCAUCAGCGCCACUGAUGACAGCUAAAGAAAAUUUAUGGGACAUCUUAAGGAAUCAGAGAAGGCUUUGGACAUAGAUGGGAAAUGCCUGUAUUUAAAUAGAUUUUUGACCCUAAAAUUGGAAUCAUUUCCUUUAGUAUAAAGUAAGGGUGGACAGGCCAUUGUGAAUACCAAAUUUUUCCCACUAGUAAUGAGUCCAUCCCUCGAGUGCUGCUAUGUGUCAGGAGCUUAACAAUGUAUUAGACACAUCUUAUUAUACUCAUUAUCAGAUGAGGAAACAGGCUAAAAGGUCAAGCCACAGCUAGCAUUUGAUGACAUGAGGCCUUAAAAAGUGAACAUUAGCUUCUAUAGAGUGCUUACUAUGGAGCAAACUCAGUGGGGAGUACUUUUUAUAAUUCCCACACAGCAAACUUAUGAGGUUGGUACUAUCACUAUUAUUAAUUUUUGCAGAUGAGGAAGUAGAGUCACAGAGGAAUCAAGUUGGAAUUCUAAGAUUGUUUAGCUCUCAACGCUUGCUUCUUCCACAUGGCUGUAUUCCUAGAUGAAAUGGAAAUUGACAUUUCCAAGAUUAAACACUAGUUAUUGAGAGAAGCCAGGGUUCUAGGAAGUAGUAGGGAAGAAGAAUUGAUGAUAGGGAAAAAUAGAAAGAAGCCAUCUAAAUUUAUCUAUUGUGAGCCACAAUGAAGAAUCUUUAAAAUAACCUGAAGUGGAAGCAAUUGUCUAACUAAGCACAGAUGAGAGUCAUUUAAUAGUUCAAAAAGGCAACUGAAUGGCAAUAGCUCAGUUUUGGAGGAGCUAGUGAAAUUGGCUAUGAACAUUGACUGUUUGUGAUUUUCACUAGGACAGAACAAAUGCACAGGGCUUAGAUAGGUCACAAUGAGAGAUACUUCAGUACACUAGUAGCAAGAUUUUCUGAUGCGAAUGUUGCUGUGGAAUUGAAAAGUUACCAGAGAGAUUACAUCUAUAUAGCUAGAAACUUUAAAAUACAGCUUUAAACCAGUAUUGGAUGGCUUAUCUCUUAUCCUGCCUCAACCCAGAGAGAUGGAGUCAGCCAUUCAAGAUCCCAUCCAACCUCUUGAUUAUAUGAAACAUCCCGAAUUCCCAAUCAAUUAGGAGAGGAGUAUCUAGACUUUCCUUCAAUGUGUGCAUAACAACACUUGUUCUUUCUAGGCUUUCUUAUCCUCUCCCCUUAAAAAGAGAGAGUUUGAAUCUGGAAACAAAGAGAAUAGCAAAGUCUAUGUAAUUUGAUCCCAUUUCCUAUUAUCUCCUUGUUAUGCCACAGCAAAAAUGCCUUUCUCAGGUAAAGAAGUUUCAAAUCUCCUCAUCCUUUAGAACAUCAAGACCCAUUUCUAGGUGCAAUGUCUCUGCUCACAUUGCUCUCCCUUGCCUGGGAUGCUCUUUCUCUUAGGAAAUCCACCCACCUACUGUGUCAUGUUCUACCCAGUGUUCAAGGUCUCACUCUAAUCAUAGAGCCUCUAGUCAUACUCUUCUGAGAAUUUCUCUGAUACUGUAAGUCUGUAUCACAGUCUAUUGCUGAAUUACGUUGUUUGUGAUUCUUUGGCAUUAUACAAUAUCCAUCUUUCCAACCAGAUUGUGAGUUCUUUAAGAAAUCUUACCCAGUGCUCUUCUGAAUCUCCCAAAUCGCACAGUCAGAAUGCAAAGAUUUUGUUGUUGUUGUUGUUUUUAGUCACAAAUAGUUUUGAGAACUUAUUUUCAGUCUUGAGUUUUCAUGAGCUUAAAAAUUAAAAAUACUAAAAAUGCACAGGGGUUAGGUAGGGAUUAUUAUAUCCUUGCAGAAUAUAUUAGGAAUUAGUCAAACUGCAAACUGUGUUGGGCACAACAUUAUCUCAUUGCAGAGGCAACACUAUCUGAUGAUUUUUACUGAAAGGAUUUGGAAUGGAGAUGCCCUUGACAUUUUCAUGUAGGCAUCCAGGAAAGAUUCAGGAAAUGAGGCUGCUCCUGUCCUCUGAAGCUCCAAUUCUCUGGUCCCCUAUGUCAAGAUAAGAGUCCAUUCUGCUGGAAUCAGUUCAUCUGAAGUUUAAGUGUAGAAAGAAUGUUGUAUACUCACUGUGGCUCUUCUGUUAACUCCCAGUCCUUUCACACUAGGAACUCACAUCUAGAAUGGUUCUGUGGUAGUAGAUCCUCUGGCCCUAAA